CAGAAUGAUAGUUACACCUUUGGGAAUAGUGGAGACAUAUCUUUUUUAUCACUGACUAUUUGUAGGAUUAAUCCUUGAGAAAUGAGCUCAGAUAUAAAACCCAUCAAGCUUAAGACAUUACUUGUCUGUUAGAGAAGUUUCAAUGCAA